GUGUGGUAGAAAGAAUUAAAAAAGGGAAUGAUGAUGAUGAUUAACUAAUAGAAGGUGAGAGCAGGGUCUAUCCUGAGUGAGGCUGGCGACCUCUACCUACUCUAGCUAAUUCCUCCUUUUUCUUCUCCUACUUUACUUCUCUCAUCGCUGUUUGUAAAUAGGGAAGGUGAAAGCAGGGUUCUAUCCUGAACGGGGGCUGGCGACCUCUACCUUACUUGAGCUAACUUCCCCUUUUCUCUUCUACUGUUCUACUUCUUUCCUUACUAUUAAUGUGGUUAAGGGAAGGUGAAAGCAGGGUUCUCUCCUGAACGGGGGCUGGCGACCUCUACCUUACUUGAGCUAAUUCUUCCAGUUUUCUUCUACUAUUCUACUUGUUUCAUUUACUUUUGAUGUUCAGGGUCGGGGGGAGGAGAUAGUUAUAGCCGGAUUUAGAGGAAUUUCGAA
rnacentral:lncRNA from 1 species